UACGUAGGUGGCAAGCGUUGUCCGGAAUUAUUGGGCGUAAAGCGCGCGCAGGCGGUCCUUUAAGUCUGAUGUGAAAGCCCACGGCUCAACCGUGGAGGGUCAUUGGAAACUGGGGGACUUGAGUGCAGGAGAGAAGAGUGGAAUUCCACGUGUAGCGGUAAAAUGCGUAGAGAUGUGGAGGAACACCAGUGGCGAAGGCGACUCUUUGGCCUGUAACUGGCGCUGAGGCGCGAAAGCGUGGGGAGCAAACAGG
rnacentral:rRNA from 1 species